UUUGGUUUAUUUGUUUUGUUUUGCUUGAGACAGUGUCUUGCCAUGUGGCUCAGACUGGCCUCAAACUCACUAUGUAGCCCAGGCUGGCCUCUAACUCAUGGCGAUCCUCUUGCCUCAGCCUC
rnacentral:miRNA from 1 species